rnacentral:rRNA from 1 species
UACGAAGGGGGCUAGCGUUGUUCGGAAUUACUGGGCGUAAAGGGCGCGUAGGCUGUGCUGUAAGUCAGGCGUGAAAUCCCCGGGCUCAACCUGGGAAUUGCGCAUGAUACUGCGGCGCUUGAAGACGGGAGAGGAUGGCGGAAUUCCCAGUGUAGCGGUGAAAUGCGUAGAUAUUGGGAGGAACACCGGUGGCGAAGGCGGCUACCUGGACCGGUACUGACGCUGAGGCGCGAAAGCUAGGGUAGCAAACAGG